GGGACGAGGACUCGCUUUAGGAGCUCCCAUUCCCCGCAGGCUGGGAGGCAUGUGUUCCAGGUGGGGCAGUGGAGACCCAGGAAGGCCAGAGCUGGUGCUUCGGACUUCAAGUAAGGCGUCCUGUGCAGCCCAGAGAGAUCCUGUGAGCGUCUCGCCCUAAUCCCCCGGAUCCUGUCUUCAUUUGAAAUUUUGAGAUUUACUGUAGACGUGGUAGGAGAAAUAAUGAUUCCCCCCUCCCCAAAUGUCCACAUCCUAACCCCUGGAACCCGUGACUGUGUUACCUCACCUAAUAAAAGGGAUUUUGCAGACAUGA